AAAAGCUCCGGCAGUAUAGGAUGGUCCCGCGUCUGAUUAGCUGGUUGGCGGGGUAACGGCCCACCAAGGCGACGAUCAGUAGCCGGCUUGAGAGAGUGGACGGCCACAUUGGGACUGAGACACGGCCCAAACUCCUACGGGAGGCAGCAGUGGGGAAUAUUGCACAAUGGGGGAAACCCUGAUGCAGCGACGCCGCGUGAGUGAAGAAGUAUUUCGGUAUGUAAAGCUCUAUCAGCAGGGAAGAAAAAAGACGGUACCUGACUAAGAAGCCCCGGCUAACUACGUGCCAGCAGCCGCGGUAAUACGUAGGGGGCAAGCGUUAUCCGGAAUUACUGGGUGUAAAGGGUGCGUAGGUGGCAUGGUAAGUCAGAAGUGAAAGCCCGGGGCUUAACCCCGGGACUGCUUUUGAAACUGUCAUGCUGGAGUGCAGGAGAGGUAAGCGGAAUUCCUAGUGUAGCGGUGAAAUGCGUAGAUAUUAGGAGGAACACCAGUGGCGAAGGCGGCUUACUGGACUGUCACUGACACUGAUGCACGAAAGCGUGGGGAGCAAACAGGAUUAGAUACCCUGGUAGUCCACGCCGUAAACGAUGA
rnacentral:rRNA from 1 species